rnacentral:rRNA from 1 species
UACGAAGGGGGCUAGCGUUGUUCGGAAUUACUGGGCGAAAGCGCACGUAGGCGGAUAUUUAAGUCAGGGGUGAAAUCCCAGAGCUCAACUCUGGAACUGCCUUUGAUACUGGGUAUCUUGAGUAUGGAAGAGGUAAGUGGAAUUGCGAGUGUAGAGGUGAAAUUCGUAGAUAUUCGCAGGAACACCAGUGGCGAAGGGCGGCUUACUGGUCCUAACUGACGCUG